GUGGUACGUGAGCUGGGUUUAAAACGUCGUGAGACAGUUUGGUCCCUAUCUGCAGUGGGCGUUGGAAGUUUGACGGGGGCUGCUCCUAGUACGAGAGGACCGGAGUGGACGAACCUCUGGUGUACCGGUUGUUUCGCCAGAAGCAUAGCCGGGUAGCUAAGUUCGGAAGAGAUAAGCGCUGAAAGCAUCUAAGCGCGAAACUCGCCCAAAGAUGAGACUUCCCUUGUGGUUUAACCAUACUAAAGAGUCGUUCGAGACCAGGACGUUGAUAGGUUGGGUGUGGAAGAGUGGUAACACUUGAAGCUAACCAAUACUAAUUGCUCGUGAGGCUUGACUCU
rnacentral:rRNA from 1 species